rnacentral:rRNA from 1 species
AUGCUCGAUUUGGACACGGAAUGGAUCCGCAAGAUCUUCGCCGCCUCCUCCCAGCCCCCGCCGCUCCCUCCCCGCGAUGCCGCGGCCCCGCCGCCCGCCUGGUUCCUCCUCGAGCCGCUCGGGUACAUCGCUGACCACGAGAACGCCACCUCCGCGGAGGCCUCCUCCAGCACGGGCCACACCGUCCGGGUCACCGUCUGCGCCGCCGACCCGCUGGGCCUCUCCCACGUCUGCGUCCACUGCCCAGGCCUCACCGACGCCGACUUCUCCGACCGGCCCACCGUCGUCUGCUCCGAGAAGGACCUCCUCGUCCUCUCGGUCGUCUUCAUCUUCGGCGCCUACGCCAAGGAGGGCCUCAAGGAGUACUUCGUCUACAGGGCCGGGCCCGGCCGGCCGUCCCUCCACCUGCUCCCAGGCCCCUUCCCGCGCGUCCUCACCAAGGCCGACGUCGCGCUCGUGCCCCGCGACGACGGCGCGCAUUUCCUCCUUCCCGUCCUGUGCUUCACGCUCGGACGCUGGGUCUAUGACCUCCAUGUGUUCUCUUCCACGACCUGGGCUUGGAGCGUGAAGGAGGUGGAGGGGGACGUGUCGCCCGGUGCCAGGGCUGAGGUGUCCCACAUUAUAGCUUCCAAGGUGAUUCUGCUCGGAGAAGGCACGGUGGGAUGGGUUGAUCUCUGGAGGGGGAUUGUGGUCUGCAAUGUGCUCGAAGAAAUGCCCGUGCUGCGGUUCAUCCCGCUGCCCCCACUGAUGCCUGGCCACAGGGAGGGCCCCAAGUCAUCCCCGUGGCCCAUUCGGAACGUCUCCUGCAGCGAUGGUUUGAUCAAGUAUGUCGAGAUAGAGAAACAUCAAAGGCAUGAUCCUGACGAAAGGCCGUUCGAUGACAUUGAUACACUCUACGAGGCAGACUGCUUGAAGAAGCCCAAAGUAAUGGGCUGGAAGGCCAUGACAUGGUAUAGAAGGUUCUCUUGUGACCAUUGGAGCAAGGGGUCCGUGGCUUAUGAUAAGGAAAUCUCAGUUGACCAACCAAUGCAUUCAGUGUUAUUGCCUGAGCUGACGGAUGAUACUGCCGGAGAGUUGACACUAAAGGACAUGCUAGCAUCUUACCCUGUCUCGAGCUUGGCAGAUCAUUGUGAUGAUGUUGUUUACAUGUUGUGUGAAUCAAAAUCUGGCAGCAAAAAGUCAUGGCUGAUCACUGUUGACCUGAAAAAGAAGAUAUUGGUCGAAUUGGCACCAUUUCCUCUUGAAGGAUAUUACAGCCCAGCCCACCCUUCUGAACUGUCCAAUUAUCUGAACGUAGCUCCAGCAGAGGAAGAAGAUACUUCAGAAGGACCCUGA